GACGAACGCUGGCGGCGUGCCUAAUACAUGCAAGUCGAACGCAGUGGGGACGGGUGAGUAACACGUGGGUAACCUCCCAUCAGAGGGGAUACCACUUGGAAACAGGUGCUAAACCGAUACUGAUGGAUGGACCCGCGGUGCAUUAGCUAGUUGGUGAGGUAACGGCCCACCAAGGCCACGAUGCAUAGCCGACCGGAGGGGAUGACCAACCACAAUGGAACUGAGACAAGGUCCAGACUACUACGGGAGGGAGCAGUAGGGAAUCUUCGGCAAUGGAGGGAAGUCUGACCGAGACAGGCCGCGGGAGGGAAGAAGGUUUUCGGAUCGGAAAGCUCUGUUGUGAGGGAAGCGGUAACUAACCAGAAAGGGACGGCUAACUACGUGCCAGCCGCCGCGGUAAUAC
rnacentral:rRNA from 1 species